rnacentral:rRNA from 1 species
UACGAAGGGGGCUAGCGUUGUUCGGAAUUACUGGGCGUAAAGCGCGCGCAGGCGGUCCUUUAAGUCAGGGGUGAAAGCCCAGAGCUCAACUCUGGAACUGCCUUUGAAACUAGAGGACUUGGGUACGGGAGAGGUGAGUGGAAUUCCGAGUGUAGAGGUGAAAUGCGCAGAUAUCAGGAGGAACACCGAUGGCGAAGGCAGGUCUCCUGGGCCACUACUGACGCUGAGAAGCGAAAGCAUGGGGAGCGAACAGG